AACGAACGCUGGCGGCAUGCCUAACACAUGCAAGCCGAACGAGACCUUCGGGUCUAGUGGCGCACGGAUGCGUAACGCGUGGGAACCUGCCCUUAGGUUCGGAAUAACUCCCCGAAAGGGGUGCUAAUACCGGAUAAUGUCUUCGGACCAAAGAUUUAUCGCCUUUGGAUGGGCCCGCGUUGGAUUAGCUAGUUGGUAGGGUAAAAGCCUACCAAGGCGACGAUCCAUAGCUGGUCUGAGAGGAUGAUCAGCCACACUGGGACUGAGACACGGCCCAGACUCCUACGGGAGGCAGCAGUGGGGAAUAUUGGACAAUGGGCGAAAGCCUGAUCCAGCAAUGCCGCGUGAGUGAUGAAGGCCUUAGGGUUGUAAAGCUCUUUUACCCGGGAUGAUAAUGACAGUACCGGGAGAAUAAGCGCCGGCUAACUCCGUG
rnacentral:rRNA from 1 species